AGUGGCGGACGGGUGAGUAACACGUAAGAAUUUGCCUUUAGGAGGGGGACAACAACUAGAAAUGGUUGCUAAUACCCCAUAUGCUUUCGAGUGAAAUGGAUUUUUCCGCCUAGAGAGAAGCUUGCGGCUGAUUAGCUUGUUGGUGAGGUAAUGGCUCACCAAGGCGGCGAUCAGUAUCUGGUUUGAGAGGACGAUCAGACACACUGGAACUGAGACACGGUCCAGACUCCUACGGGAGGCAGCAGUGGGGAAUUUUCCGCAAUGGGCGAAAGCCUGACGGAGCAAUACCGCGUGAGGGAUGACGGCCUAUGGGUUGUAAACCUCUUUUUUCAGGGAGGAAUCAAUGACGUGUACCUGAAGAAUAAGCAUCGGCUAACUCCGUGCCAGCAGCCGCGGUAAGACGGGGGAUGCAAGUGUUAUCCGGAAUCACUGGGCGUAAAGCGUCUGUAGGUGGUCCAAUAAGUCAACUGUUAAAUCUUGAGGCUCAACCUCAAAAUCGCAGUCGAAACUAUUAGACUAGAGUAUAGUAGGGGUAAAGGGAAUUUCCAGUGGAGCGGUGAAAUGCGUAGAGAUUGGAAAGAACACCGAUGGCGAAGGCACUUUACUGGGCUAUUACUAACACUCAGAGACGAAAGCUAGGGUAGCAAAUGGGAUUAGAUACCCCAGUAGUCCUAGCCGUAAACAAUGGAUACUAGAUGUU
rnacentral:rRNA from 1 species